rnacentral:rRNA from 1 species
AAACUGGGGCUAAUACCGCAUAUGGGCUGAGGCCCAAAGCCGAGAGGCGCCUUUGGAGCGGCCUGCGUCCGAUUAGGUAGUUGGUGGGGUAAAGGCCUACCAAGCCUGCGAUCGGUAGCUGGUCUGAGAGGACGACCAGCCACACUGGGACUGAGACACGGCCCAGACUCCUACGGGAGGCAGCAGUGGGGAAUAUUGGACAAUGGGCGAAAGCCUGAUCCAGCAAUGCCGCGUGGGUGAAGAAGGUCUUCGGAUCGUAAAGCCCUUUCGACGGGGACGAUGAUGACGGUACCCGUAGAAGAAGCCCCGGCUAACUUCGUGCCAGCAGCCGCGGUAAUACGAAGGGGGCUAGCGUUGCUCGGAAUUACUGGGCGUAAAGGGCGCGUAGGCGGCGGCCCAAGUCAGGCGUGAAAUUCCUGGGCUCAACCUGGGGACUGCGCUUGAUACUGGGUUGCUUGAGGAUGGAAGAGGCUCGUGGAAUUCCCAGUGUAGCGGUGAAAUGCGUAGA